GAUUGAAUUGCGCACGGAUGGCCCAGAUUGAAUUGCAAUGAACAGUCCAGAUUCACUCUCUAUUUAAUCGCGAUCGGACAGUCCAGAUUAAAUGCGAUGGACGGCCCAGAUCAAAAGCGGAUGGGUAUAAAUAACCCCAUCAGCACCCAAACCCUAACCCUAGCCGCCAGAGCCCCUCACCGGAGAAGACAGCCCAGCUGCCGGGGAGC
rnacentral:lncRNA from 1 species